rnacentral:rRNA from 1 species
UACGUAGGGGGCUAGCGUUGUCCGGAUUUAUUGGGCGUAAAGAGCGUGUAGGCGGCCAGGUAGGUCCGGUGUGAAAACUCGAGGCUUAACCUCGAGAUGUCAUCGGAAACCAUCUGGCUAGAGUCCGGAAGAGGAAAGUGGAAUUCCUGGUGUAGCGGUGAAAUGCGCAGAUAUCAGGAAGAACACCAAUGGCGAAGGCAGCUCUCUGGGACGGUACUGACACUGAGACGCGAAAGCGUGGGGAGCGAACAGG